GGUGGUUCUCGGGUGAUGCACCCGGAAUCAGGCUCCCUCCUCUCUGGUUCCGGGUGCAUCACCUGAGAACCGCA
rfam:Myotis brandtii contig180480, whole genome shotgun sequence.